rnacentral:rRNA from 1 species
AACGAACGCUGGCGGCAGGCCUAACACAUGCAAGUCGAACGCCGUAGCAAUACGGAGUGGCAGACGGGUGAGUAACACGUGGGAACGUACCCUUCGGUUCGGAAUAACUCAGGGAAACUUGAGCUAAUACCGGAUACGUCCGAGAGGAGAAAGAUUUAUCGCCGAGGGAUCGGGCCCGNGUCUGAUUAGCUUUGUUGGUGAGGUAACGGCUCACCAAGGCGACGAUCAGUAGCUGGUCGAGAGGAUGAUCAGCCACAUUGGGACUGAGACACGGCCCAAACUCCUACGGGAGGCAGCAGGUGGGGAAUAUUGGACAAGUGGGCGCAAGCCUGAUCCAGCCAUGCCGCGUGAGUGAUGAA